UUUUCCCGGGUUCCUGCGCCUGCGGUAGGUUUUUGGGAUCCUGGGAGAUGCGGAGCUGAAGAGACUCUGGCAGAAGUGGGUCUAGCAUCCGGGCUGUGUUGGAGCAGAGUGGUCCUUGCAACCAAAUGUAGCAGGUGGUAGGCUGGUCACUUCCAGGAUGUACCCCUAGAUGUACCAUAAUGCAAUCUAGGAUUUCCAUUGGUCACCACACCCUUAUUUCUUUGUUUUACAUAAUUUAUAGAUUUUUUUAGGGUGAGGGAACACAUGGCAAUGUUCAGGGGUUAUUCCUAACUCUGCACUCAGGGAUCACACCUGGGGGUGCUCAGGGAAACAUGGGAUGCGAUGCUGGCAAUCAAACCUGGGUAGACACGUGCAAGACAAGAACCCCACCCACUAAAUUUCUGUUAUUAUUAUUAUUAUUAUUUGCUUUUUGGGUCACACCCAGCGAUGCUCAGGGGUUACUCCUGGCUCUGCACUCAGGAAUUACUCCUUGCAGUGCUUGGGGGACCAUAUGGGUUGCCGGGGAUCGAACCCGGGUCGGCCGCGUGCAAGGCAAACGCCCUACCCGCUGUGCUAUCGCUCCGGCCCCAUUUCUGUUAUUAUUAAUUGUAGUUUUUGGUCCACAGCUGGCAAGUGCUAAGGGCUCACUCUUGGACCUUAGCUCAGGCGUGGCUCUUGGCAGUGCUGGGGUGGGGAAACCUAUGUGCUGUUGCAUAUUAACCCGGGCUCAGCUGCUUGAACGAAAAGCAUCCUAUACAUUUACUAUCUCUGCUAACUCUCUGAUUUUAUUUUUCCUCAGACAAAUAAUUUCUGCUUUACCUGUCAGGUUUCAGAGCAAUCCCUCAUUGAUGGAGGUAUUUCUCCAGGACCAGAGGCUCCCCCUUCUGUUCUGCUGAUUCCACGGAGCCACCUGCUGAUCCUUGGGAAUUACAGAAGCUGCAGGCAAUGGUGACGCUUCACUGACACACUGUUCCAGGUGAUUCUAUGGAGCCACCUGCUGAUCCUUGGGAAUUACAGAAGCUUCAGACAAUGGUGACACACCAUCUGACACACUGUCCCCAGGUGGGAGGAGAAUGAUGUGGUGACAUGAUGCAGUGACAGGCAGGUACUUGUUUCUAGGGUCUCUGUCUCUUGAGUUUCAGGAAGGAGUCCUGGGAUGUAAUUCCUGGCCUGAGUACUCCGACUCUCUGCUAUUUGAGGCUACUUUGUCCUUGUCUGUUAGAUUCCUUUUAUUUGGGUUUAGCCACAACCAGCAGUACUAGAGGAAUACUUCUAACUCAGUGCUCAAUUAUCAUUCCUACCAGAUCUAUUGGAACCGUUCAGUUGGCAUGGAUUCAAGACUGCCUUCAGAUUAUUUUUUUUUCUUUUGAGCAACAUUUAGUGAACAUUAUAUUUUAGGACAGGAAUGAUAUUGUGUGCUUUAUUUCUGUUUCACUUAUAGUACUUGUCUUUGCAAAGUAACUGUACUUUGAUCUAUGCAACAUUUUUCUUUUUUCUUUUUUCUUUUUUUUUUUUUUUUUGCUUUUUGGGUCACACCCAGCGAUGCUCAGGGCUUACUCCUGGCUUUGCACUCAGGAAUUACUCCUGGCGGUGCUUGGGGGACCAUAUGGGAUGCCGGGGAUCGAACCCGGGUCGGCUGCGUGCAAGGCAAAUGCCCUAUCCACUGUGCUAUCGCUCCGGCCCCAACAUUUUUCUUUUUAAAAAAAUCUUUUUAAUUAGUGAAUCACUGUGAGGGUAGAGUUAACAGAUUUACGUAUUUCCGUGCUUUUGUUUCAGUCAUACAAUGCUCAAGUACCCAUCCUUCCACCAAUUCCCAUUCUCCACCACCGAUGAUCCCAGUAUUCCUUCCACCCCCCACUUUAUCCCCCCACCCCACCUUGCCUCUGUGGCAGGGUGUAGGAUGACAUUACUUUGUCCUCUCCCCUGUCACCCUACAGCAGGGAAUUCCCUUUGGGUGGUGAUGGGAGGGUUACAAAGAGUGAUUCUCCUGGGUUACUUCUGGCUCUGCACUCAAUGUUGCAGCUGGCAGUGCUUGCCGGACCAGGUGGGACAGUGGGGAUUGAUAGUCCUGCCCAUUGUCCCUGGACCCGCUGUAGUGUAACUCCAUCUGCCUUUUUGUCUUCUAUUGUAUUUGUGUUCUCACACAGCUUUGAGUCACUAACUGGAUAUUGUGUGUCCCUUUCUCAUCCCUAGAACAUAGAAUAGGGACUGUGGGAUAUGGCAUUGGUAGGGUGUGGUAUCUAGUGAUUUGGUCCAACCCAUUGUUGCUAUUUUUGGUCCUGUUGGGUCUGUGCUCAGGUGUUAUCCUCUGCAGUGGUCAUUGGAUUUAUUCCUGGGGUGGCUGCAGGCAAGUCCAGAACUUGCAGGAACCUUCUAGUCUAGUGUCAUUGUAGUAGAUCUGCCUUCUUGUGAGGGAUUCCUGGGCUCAUCAGCCCCAAAUGUGGAUGGAGGCUGUUUCCUCCCAAUUGGAAUGGGGAAGGGAGUGAGGCCCUGAGCUCCUCUAGGGCGCUAGGGUGUCUCAUUCUCACGCCCCAUAGUAUGGGGUGGGAUGACAUCACUCCUGCUCCAUAUGUCUGUGUUCAGGACAUGGUGACCUUCCCCAACAUGGCCAUGAGUUCCACCCCAGAGGAAAGAACAAGUGUCAGAAAUCAAGUUUUUGCAGGGUACAGGUGAGCUCCAACCUGCUGGAAUAUCUCCCCAGUCCCUGGCUUUAUGUCUUAUGAGUCCAACUUAUUUUAUUUUCUUGCUGUAUUUCAUUUUUGGGUCAGCUGGCAAUGCACAUGAGUGACUCCAAGAUAUGCACUCAGGAAUCACUCCUGAUUAGAUCCCCAGCAUCCAAUAUGGUCCCCAGGCACAGCCGGGAAUAUUUCCUCAGCCCAGAGCCACGAUUAAGCCCUAUACAUUGCUGUGUGUGACCCAAAACAAACCAAAUACAUUUACUUCUCUUUCCACACUUGACUUGAGUGCUUUGCUUCUGCUCUUGGUAUUGUUUGGGGGACACAUUCGGCAUUUUCAUUUUAUUUGUAAUUUUUAAAUUCCAUUCAUUUAUUUUUUGGCUUUUGGGUCACACUCAGUGGUGUUUAGGGGUUACUCCUGACUCUGCCCUCAGGAAUUUCUCCUGGCAGUGCUCAGGGACCACAUGGAAUGUUGAGAUUGGGACCCCGGUGAUUUGUGUGCAAGGCAAAUGCCCUGCCCUGCACUAUGCUGUCAUUCCAGCCUCUAAGAUCAAUUUUGUCUUAGAUUCUCACCCACUUAGCCACUGUUUUGCUCAGUGCUUGGGGUCACUUCAACUGAUCUUGGGAGAACAGGUGGCACCUGGCAUCAACCCAAGGUUCCCACCCGGAAUGAGGUGGUGGCGGGUGAGUGCAGGGCCUGGUACGGGGCCUGUGGGCCUUGGGGGUGCGGGAACUGCCAGGAACAAGGGGGCGUGGCUGUGCCAACCCUCCGGGGACGGGACUUCUUUGGACCCUGUCCAGGAAAAUUUGACCCCGACAUGGCUACUGUUUUACUUAGAUGGGAACAAUAUCAGAGCACUUAGAGCCUUUGCUUUCCAUGUUUCAGACCCAGGUUCCAUUCCAUGAGCAUGACCAGAACUGAUUCCUGAGUGCAGAGCCAGGAAUAACCACUUAGUAUUGGCUGAGUGGUCUUCGAGAAAAUGUAAUAGAAGACAGAUUUAUUUUGAGGGGCAGAGCGGCAGCUCCCGAAAAUCAAGAUCAUGCUGUUGUUGCUGAUGUAUUAAUUACCAUGAUGUCUGGGACCAUCCAGGAGGCGUGGUCGUCAUAGGUGCUUAGUGUUUGCAAAUGAAAAUUUGCUUUUGGGGGCUAUUUUUGGUGUUUUUAUGAGUGCGAGGGGGUCUGUCCAUGCCUGUAGAUGCUCAGGGCUUACUCCUGGAUCUGGGCUCCAUAAGAGAUGCCGAGGAUUGAUCAGGGUGAGCAAGGCAAGCACAUUAGCCCUUUACUGUCUGUCUGAUUCCAAUGUUGGUGUUUUUGUACAUCAGGAAUUUCUGCUCUCUCACAGCAAGUUGCAAAGCCUCCGCACUUCUCAUCUCGCCGUGAUCAGGCGACCCAGGCUAUUGGGAAAAGACAUUGCUAUGAAGUAAACUAUGCAAAAAGGAGAGGAGAAGGAGAAAAGCAAUAUUUCACUUAUCAAACACAUGGGGAGGCGCGGGGCACUCCGGAGGGCACUUUGGUCCUGCCACAAAGUCUGCCUUCACAGCCUCCCUGCCUCAGGGCACCAAUUCCUCCUCUACCCACAAGACCAAUGGCGGCCCGAGCCAGGCAACCGCAGCUAGAUUAGAAGGGAUUCCUGAAGGGCCGUCUGUGGCAUCACUUCCGUUUCUGCCAGGGGCCUUAAAGAGCCAUCGCUAAGAUUUAGAGAACCCAGGUGAACUGGUGGUGUAAGGGGAAUGGACUAAACAAAGGAGUGGAGAGGCAGCUGAUGGGGCGGUGAGCCACAGAGUGAGGAGCUGCGGGGGGAAGGAGAAGAGAUCUGAUCCUGUACUGAUCAGUCAAAAAUUCAACCAAUGCUAUCACAGUCCCCCAGGAAAAACGCGGGUGGGUUGAUUGAAAGUAAAACAGGCAGGUAGGUGCAAGUCACCUGAUGCUGGGGAAUUAAGAUGGGGUGAGAGCAGUGACUCCGAAGCCAGCCCUGGAGAUGCAGAGAGGAACUGGCCUGGCAGCAGCCCAGAGAGCUGGACAGACACUGCAAAGGGGAAAAUGCUGGAAGAACACAGUCUUUGGAAAAAGCCCAACCACUGGACUCUUGCCUACAAGGUAAACCACAUCAAGGCAGUUUCAGAAACAAAUACAGAGGAUGGGUAAGAGGGGUAGUACAGCGGGCUGGGCACUUACUUACCUUGCAUUCGGGCAAUCUGGGUUCACACCUCAGAAUUCCAAAUGGUUCCCUGAGCAUCACCGAAGAGCAAGAAAGAAACAGCACACUGAAUCACUUUGGACACGAGUGGCGCCCCCAAAAUGCCUCCAAACUGUGUGCCCGGAGCUUCUGGCCCAGGCGCUGCCAGCGAGUGAUGCAAUUACCAAAAGAAUUUUCCCUGGACUUCAUAUAGAAAUCCAAAACCUCGAGGCUGCGAUAGCAGCCACGCGACCUAAUAUCUUUUGAUUGUCAGCAAUGUGUAAAUGUUCCUUUUUGGCAGGGCUUACCGUGGGGGGAAACUCCAAACAAUAGUACUGAGUUUUUUGUUGAAGGGUAAAAAAUUGUAACGAUAGAAUUUUAGGCAGAAUUUUCCCUGGACUUUAUAUAGAAACCCAAAACCGCGUGGCCUCGGCAGCCUAAUGUCAUCUAAUCAUCAGCAAUAUGAAAUGGUUCCUUUGUAAUGGGUUGGACUUUGGGGGGACCAUAAUAGGGUUAAAGUUUGUAGCGACGUGUAAUUUCUGGCUGUACUUUCCCUGGACUUUAUACAGAAAUUCAAAGCCGCGAGGCCGCUGCCAUGGCCGUGCAACCUAUUGUCAUUUAAUCAUCACCAAUAUGAAAUGGUUCCUUCUUAUCGGGUCGGACUUUGGUGGGAAAUCCUAACAAGAAUACUAAGUCUUUUGCUGAAAUAUUGAAGGCUAUCAAAGUGGUAGCCAUCUCUAUAGACUGAACUAAGCCAUAUCCCCACGCCGGGUGAGAAGAAAUAUCCUUCUUUCUCGGGAAGAAACGCGGCGUGGCGUUAACCAUAGUAUGAUGUCCAUUAAGCUGACAUGGACCUGGUGGUGUGGGAAUGGGAUACAAGGGAAUAAAUUAUUAUGUACUUGGAACAGCAGGAUGCUGGUGGAAUCUCGAGCCGGGGCCGAUACCAGCAUAUUACCUUUGAUUCCAGAAACUGCUUGCAGACAUUCUACCAGGCUAUCAACUAAGCCAGAGCCCCACGCCGGCUGAUGACGGGAAAUAACCAUCUUUUUUGGUUUAUUUUCCCUUUGUCAGGCAGCGUGGUGAUUACUAAACAGGCGUGAU